UACGGAGGGAGCUAGCGUUGUUCGGAAUUACUGGGCGUUAAGCGCGCGUAGGCGGCUUUGUAAGUUAGAGGUGAAAGCCCGGGGCUCAACCCCGGAAUUGCCUUUAAGACUGCAUCGCUUGAAUCCGGGAGAGGUGAGUGGAAUUCCGAGUGUAGAGGUGAAAUUCGUAGAUAUUCGGAAGAACACCAGUGGCGAAGGCGGCUCACUGGAACGGUACUGACGCUGAGACGCGAAAGCGUGGGGAGCGAACAGG
rnacentral:rRNA from 1 species